AUUCUGUCUGCUUAUAUCCCAUUACAUUUGCAGUUUAAAGAGAAAAGUGGCAUGUAGUAGGAAUCAGAGACAGACACAAUUGCAAGAACUGAGUUUGAGGAGGUUAAAUGAACAGUCCAAAUCCCUAAAGCUUUUAUAAUUGCUGAAAUGCUCUUGGAGUUACAUGAGUGUCCUCUCUUUCUUACUUAAAAAAAGUGUCAAUUUCAAAAUCAUGAAUUGCUUCGAUUGCUUGCUCAAUGUGGAAGUGAGAGAUUUGCAUGAGAAGCAUUAUCAGACUAGCACAGCAAUG